rnacentral:rRNA from 1 species
AUGAAAGCCACGUUCUUCUUGAAACCCCGCUUAGCUGCACAGGAAAAACAAAAAGCGUUGCAUCAGUAUGUAGCUAUCAUCAUUUAUAUUCUGGGCCAGAAGAGUUCGGAUCCAGCCAUUUUUUGCCUUAGGCGAUUCCUGUUUGUCAUAAUCAUGUCAACAUCUUUGAAAGUCUCAUGUUCAAAGCUCUGCACAAGGUCUACACAUGUGAAAUCAGAGAGAUGGCGGGCCCAGGCACUCCAUUAUGUCUACUUUUGUGACACUAAAUUGCUAUUGUUGGAUUUCAUUUUUUUUGUAACUUUGUUGCUGUAA